CUACGUAGGGGGCGAGCGUUGUCCGGAAUGAUUGGGCGUAAAGGGCGCGUAGGCGGCCCGGUAAGUCUGGAGUGAAAGUCCUGUUUUUAAGAUGGGAAUUGCUUUGGAUACUGUCGGGCUUGAGUGCAGGAGAGGGAAGUGGAAUUCCCAGCGUAGCGGUGAAAUGCGUAGAGAUUGGGAGGAACACCAGUGGCGAAGGCGACUUACUGGACUGUAACUGACGCUGAGGCGCGAAAGUGUGGGGAGCAAACAGGAUUAGAUACCCUGGUAGUCCACACUGUAAACGAUGAAUGCUAGGUGUAGGGGGUAUCGACCCCUUCUGUGCCGCAGUCAACACAAUAAGCAUUCCGCCUGGGGAGUACGGCCGCAAGGUUGAAACUCAAAUGAAUUGACGGGG
rnacentral:rRNA from 1 species